UUAAAUUUUAAAAGAUAUUAAAUGAAGGAAGAUAGUAUUAUUUAUAACAAAGCAAAACAUUAAUACUUCGUAUGGCGCUAGAGACAUACACGCAGAUGUUUUAUCAACAGCAAAGAACAGAUAAAGCUGAAAAGAUAGCAUCACGCUCGUAUUCUUUUUCCUUUUUUUUUUUUCCAUUUAUAAUAUUUUGUCGCAGUUUGUAAUAUACAUACUAUAGUAAUAAGUCAGAGGGCUCUCGUUUCCAGCCUUCUAACCCUACCCGUCCGAUCGAUCAAUU
rnacentral:lncRNA from 1 species